rnacentral:rRNA from 1 species
UACGUAGGGCGCAAGCGUUAUCCGGAAUUAUUGGGCGUAAAGAGCUCGUAGGCGGUUUGUCGCGUCUGCCGUGAAAGUCCGGGGCUCAACUCCGGAUCUGCGGUGGGUACGGGCAGACUAGAGUGAUGUAGGGGAGACUGGAAUUCCUGGUGUAGCGGUGAAAUGCGCAGAUAUCGGGAGGAACACCGGUGGCGAAGGCGGUUCUCUGGGCCUUACCUGACGCUGAGGAGCGAAAGCGUGGGGAGCAAACAGG